rnacentral:rRNA from 1 species
CGUAGGGCGCGAGCGUUGUCCGGAUUUAUUGGGCGUAAAGAGCUCGUAGGCGGCUUGUCACGUCGACUGUGAAAUCCCGCGGCUCAACUGCGGGUCUGCAGUCGAUACGGGCAGGCUAGAGUUCGGUAGGGGAGACUGGAAUUCCUGGUGUAGCGGUGAAAUGCGCAGAUAUCAGGAGGAACACCGGUGGCGAAGGCGGGUCUCUGGGCCGAUACUGACGCUGAGGAGCGAAAGCGUGGGGAGCGAACAGGAUUAGAUACCCUGGUAGUCCACGCUGUAAACGUUGGGCGCUAGGUGUGGGGGACCUCUCCGGUUCUCUGUGCCGCAGCUAACGCAUUAAGCGCCCCGCCUGGGGAGUACGGCCGCAAGGCUA